CAAAGUGUUGGUUUGCUGCUGUUUUCCAGGUAUAUGAUGAUGUGUUCUAACACAUAUAUGUUGGUUUGUGUCCAUUUAUCCAACAGAUGUCUAAAUGUUCCACUGAUAGAACGUGUACAGUCCAUGUAUUGCCAUGUGCAGACUGUUUGAAGUAGAUCCGGUCGAUCUGACACUAAUAUUCAUCUGGACUUAAACCCAUUCUCUGCUUAAUUCUACAGUUUCACAUUUGGAGCCCAG